GAUGAACGCUGGCGGCGUGCCUAAUACAUGCAAGUCGAGCGAACGGACGAGAAGCUUGCUUUUCUGAUGUUAGCGGCGGACGGGUGAGUAACACGUGGAUAACCUACCUAUAAGACUGGGAUAACUUCGGGAAACCGGAGCUAAUACCGGAUAAUAUUUUGAACCGCAUGGUUCAAAAGUGAAAGACGGUCUUGCUGUCACUUAUAGAUGGAUCCGCGCUGCAUUAGCUAGUUGGUAAGGUAACGGCUUACCAAGGCAACGAUGCAUAGCCGACCUGAGAGGGUGAUCGGCCACCCUGGAACUGAGACACGGUCCAGACUCCUGCGGGAGGCCGCAGUAGGGAAUCUUCCGCAAUGGGCGAAAGCCUGACGGAGCAACGCCGCGUGAGUGAUGAAGGUCUUCGGAUCGUAAAACUCUGUUAUUAGGGAAGAACAUAUGUGUAAGUAACUGUGCACAUCUUGACGGUACCUAAUCAGAAAGCCACGGCUAACUACGUG
rnacentral:rRNA from 1 species